AGGACUUAAAGCAACGUGACUCAAACGUUGGUGACGGACUUCAGUCGAGAGACAGACGUGAGGCCUGAGCUCCGCAGAUUAACUUACAUUUACCGUAGUUUUCGCUUUAAAUCGGUAUUUUAGCUCCAGCUUUGACUUUUUCCACCGCAGACAAACUUUGUAUCCAGAGAGAAGAAGUUAAAUGCGACAAAUCGCCCGGGAAGAAAAACGUCUUUUUCCGCCAAAGGUUUUUUUUCGGUCGGAUAUGUGCUUGGAAGUAAUGGAGACCAAGCCUAAGCACGUGAAACCCGACUGCCUGCUUCGUAGGACCGUGAAAGUGGCGUCUAAACCGAGGUGGAGGCAGCUGGAGGCGGACGAGGCCUCCAAACCGAGCCGGGCCUCCAUCCGGAAACAACUCCACCGCGAGCAGAAGCGGGCCCAGCUGGUUAAGCUCGCCCGAGUCCUGAGGCCCAACGUCGGGAAGAAGGACAAGGAAACGUCGCUGUGUGAGCAGAGAACCGCCGCGGCCUACAACCGCCGACACCCAGGAACAAUGGCGCCGGCGAACACCACCCAGUUCCUGAUGAGUAACGCCGAGGAGGACAUGAAGAGCCGAAACAUCCAGGCGGAUCCGGCCUCCACGGAAACAUGGUCGUGUCUGUACAGCGAGUCCAUGUCCCCCCGGAGCGUGUACGCGGCCCUGGACUCUGCCUACGAGAGCUGCGUUGAUUUCCAGCUCCGGGACUUUGAGGAAAUGUUCGCCCCGAGCUGGUGAACAACGGCAUCGAACGGUCUACGCGGCCUUGUGGCACCGAUCCGACCCUCCUGUCCACUAGUGACAGUUACACAAAGACAACCAUGAAGCCGACGCACUGGACGCUGCCCCACCACUAGGGAGCGCUCCUGAGCUCCGGACGGAACGAUCCGAAUCCCACCCGGGACGAACCGGUCUACGUGGAACCCGAUCCGACCUCCUCAGACCCCCACUGACAUGUACUUAGGACAAACAUGAAAGCGGCGCACUUGGACGCUGCCCCACCACUAGGGAGCGCUCCCGAGCCGCGCGUCGCCCGGAGGAACGAACCAAACGCACCCCCGGGGACGAACCGGUCUACGUGGAACUGCUUCCCGCGACCUCCUCACACCCACUGACAUUUACUUAGGACAGCCGUGAAGCGGCGCACUGGACGCUGCCCGCCCGCUAGGGAGCGCUCCUGAGCCUUGCGUCGCCCAGAGGAACGAACCAAACGCACCCGAGCUCUGCUCCGCCCACGGAUUGUGAAUAAUCCAGGUAAACCCGGGCAGGUAUCGUUGUUGCACUGACCACGUUAUUGGUGGUACUGAAAUGUGUUGGGCGAUGAAUGGGAAGUGUUGCUUUCCACAGUCACUGUUGUCUGAGCGUUUUCCAGAUCCCACUCGACAACCCUCCCUCUCCUCUCCUCCCCCCACUGCCGGGACACGAGCAGGAGGCAAGGACACCGGAGAGAUCAGUCUGCACGUGACUGACAUGAGGUGACAUUUACUGUCCGUUGAUUGUUGACUGUUUCCAGGAAGGCCGAAGUUCAGACACUAAGCUUGGUUAAUGUCGAGGUUGACAGUUGUAUUUAUUAUGUAAGAUAAAAGAAUUUAUGAUGAGAGUGAUUUUAAUUAAACGAGGUUUGAAACGUA